rnacentral:rRNA from 1 species
GGAGGCAGCAGUGAGGAAUAUUGGACAAUGGAUGGAAAUCUGAUCCAGCCAUGCCGCGUGCAGGAAGACGGCCUUAUGGGUUGUAAACUGCUUUUAUACGGGAGCAAUAAGGGUUACGAGUAAUCCGAUGAGAGUACUGUAUGAAUAAGGAUCGGCUAACUCCGUGCCAGCAGCCGCGGUAAUACGGAGGAUCCGAGCGUUAUCCGGAAUUAUUGGGUUUAAAGGGUGCGUAGGCGGCCAUUUAAGUCAGCGGUGAAAUUUUGCAGCUUAACUGUAACAGUGCCGUUGAUACUGUUUGGCUAGGAUUUGGUUGUAGUGUGCGGAAUGUGUGGUGUAGCGGUGAAAUGCUUAGAUAUCACACAGAACACCGAUUGCGAAGGCAGCACACUAAGUCAUUAUUGACGCUGAGGCACGAAAGUGUGGGGAUCAAAAAGGAUUAGAUACCCUGGUAGUCCACACUGUAAACGAUGAUAACUCGCUGUCGGCGAUACACAGUCGGUGGCCAAGCGAAAGCAUUAAGUUAUCCACCUGGGGAGUACGACCGCAAGGUUGAAACUCAAAGGAAUUGACGGGGGCCCGCACAAGCGGAGGAACAUGUGGUUUAAUUCGAUGAUACGCGAGGAACCUUACCCGGGCUCGAACGGUGCAUGAAUAUACGAGAGAUUGUAUAGUCCUUCGGGACAUGUAUCGAGGUGCUGCAUGGUUGUCGUCAGCUCGUGCCGUGAGGUGUCGGCUUAAGUGCCAUAACGAGCGCAACCCUUGUCAUUAGUUGCCAUCAGGUCAAGCUGGGGACUUUAAUGAGACUGCCACCGUAAGGUGUGAGGAAGGGGGGGAUGACGUCAAAUCAGCACGGCCCUUAUGUCCGGGGCGACACACGUGUUACAAUGGGAGGUACAGAGGGCAGCUAUCCGGUGACGGAAUGCUAAUCUCCAAAACCUUUCUCAGUUCGGAUUGGAGUCUGCAACUCGACUCCAUGAAGGUGGAUUCGCUAGUAAUCGCGCAUCAGCCAUGGCGCGGUGAAUACGUUCCCGGGCCUUGUACACACCGCCCGUCAAG